rnacentral:lncRNA from 1 species
GGAAGAGUGCAGAGAGGAUUUGUCUCUGUCAUCUAGUCUGUCAUUUCAAGAACAGCAAAGCUGGUCUGAAGAGAAGUCUCGGUUAUUAAGAGUAGUUAUUGCUCUUGUGGAGGACUGACAUCCUAGCAUCCAUGUAGGGUGGGGGUAGAGAGGGGUAAGUCAUGAAAGGCCUGUAACUCCAGCAUCAGGGAUCCAGGACCCUCUUCUGGCCUGCUUAUGCAUCUGCACUCAUGAGCAUAUCCCCUUCCCCCACAUACACAUAAUUAGAACUAAAGUAAAUCUCUGGCCAGUCUCACAGUUCAGUCAGCCUAGUCGACAUCAGAAGUUCCAGGACAGCCAGGGCUGUGUAGUGAGACUCUCUCCUUGAUAGAUAUAGAUAGAUAACAAAUUCUUUGUUUGUUUGUUUGUUUGUUUUUCAAAACAGGGUUUCUCUGUGUAGCCCUGGCUGUCCUGGAACUCACUCUGGAGACCAGACUGUCCUUGAAUUCAGAAAUCUGCCUGCUUCUGCCUCCCAAGUGCUGGGAUUAAAGGCAUGUACCACCACUGUCCAGUGGUAACAAACUCUUAGAACUACAAAGCUAUGGUGCUCUGGCAUCAACUGCAAGGUCACUAGCCAUAAUGCUGAUUUCCAGGCCCCACCUAGACUGACAGACCUGUCCUUUGUCACUGGGGUCCAAAAAGCUGCUUUUCACAAACACCUGGGGGAAGCCUUACUCAUUGGAGUCAAGAGUCUCCGGCACAGAUGCAGUGUGCAUCACUAAGAUAUUAGAGCGAUGCUGGGGGCGCAGAUACUGCCCAUUCUCAGAGGCAGGGUGCAGAGAAGAUCUGGAGAGCACAAGCUAAAAGGUGACACUGUGAACACAGAGGGGACCAGAGAGGCUGCUGGCUGCCACAGGAUGACGCUCAGAGAAAGACUUCUGGUCAGUAACUGUUGAUGUGUUCAAAAACAUUGUUGAAGGAAAAGGUUCUUGAAAGAGUAAAAUGGAUGCAGAAGAAAUCCGUAGUUACACCUUCCUCCGCCGUUCAGGGGCAUGGUUUCACAGAGAUCCCAGGUCCCCUAAGUGAGACAGUGACUCCUGUGUGUUUCAGAAGCUCUUAUCAGCUGCCUCAGCCAGUGGUCGUUGCGUGUGUAGAGCUGGUGUUAGCACCGAACCCUGCUAUGAAAUGUCCCCGUAGCAAAUCAUGUUGGGUAUAAUAUGCUUUCUUAAUUUAUACACACUAAAGGAAGUUUUUGAAAAAAUCUGUAAUAUUUGGACAAACUACAUUGUGUUGCUUUAAUAUUCUAAAUUAAACUUUUAAUAAAGAUUACCAGAAUA